GUGAAAUUGGUCAACUUUUCUUUACAAUUUUCUUCAUUUCAUUGAGGUUUUCUGAAUUUGUUUAUGAACAACUCUAUAAAGAUACUGCCACAACAUUUCAAUUUGGUUGAGGUCUAUACUAGCUGGUGUUUCAGGACCCAAUUUCAGCUAGACUUUAGCUGUCAUAUAAAUGGCCUUGUAUUUGAAUACAUUGCUAUACAGAGGUCAACUCAAAAACUGCAAGGUUCAAACAAGCCCAAUUCACCACCCCCCCACCACAGAGCUUGACAGUUUGUAUGAGAUUAUUGUGCUGAUAUGCUGUGUUUGGUUUUCACCAAACAUGGCACUGUGCAUGAUAGCGAAACAUCUCCACUUUAGUAUUGUCUGUCCAGGGGACAUUGUUCCAGAAAUCUUGUGGUUUGCUCA